AUGGAGUCCUCUUGUUGGGACAAGGACCCCCCAGGAGAGAGGAGCCCCCAGCAGAGUCAACGCUGGAGGGCCAGGUACCAUGGUGCCCGGGGCUGUGGACCACACCAGCCCACAGCCACCGCAAGCCCCAGACCAGGGCUGUGGAUCACGCCAGCCCACGGCAGCUGCAUGCCCCAGACCAACACGAGAAGAACGCAGGCUGACAACAUCUUUAUCUACGCUCUCGCCACACUCAGUCAAUGUCCAAUGGGGGCCUCGGGGGCACCUCCACCUGCCCAGGUCUGGGACCACCAUCCUCCACGCGUAUCUACAGACCCUGUCCUCACCUGCAUCACCAACGAUGGCGUCACGGCGUGGGUUCCGGUCACCAGUCGGCCUCCCCCACCAACAUGUACUCCUUACAAUCAGGGCCACCACCGUGGACACGAUCCCAUCAGGAACCACCUACUUUUGCAUCCCCAGCACCGUGCUCAGGUCCCAGGGAGGCCCCAGCAAACUGUGGAACAACCAAACUUGUGACUGAAUGAACAAGUAUGUUAAGUUGUUAAGUAGAAAAUAGCA